rnacentral:misc_RNA from 1 species
GAUGAAGAACGUAGCGAAAUGCGAUAACUAAUGUGAAUUGCAGAAUUCAGUGAAUCAUCGAGUCUUUGAACGCACAUUGCGCCCCCUGGUAUUCUGGCGGGCAUGCCUGUCUGAGCGUCGUUUCGACCCUCGCGCCCGGCUUCUGUCGGGGGCGGUGUUGGGGAUCGGCCACACCCUUCAGUGGGAGGCCGGCCCCUAAAUUCAGUGGCGACCACGCUGUAGCCUCCCCUGCGUAGUACUAAAACCACCUCGCAGGCGGAGAGCGGUGCGGCCCGCCGUAAAACCCCCCAACUUUUACAAGGUCGACCUCAGAUCAGGUAGGAAUACCCGCUGAACUUAAGCAUAUCAAUAAGCGGAGGA